AAUAUUGGACAAUGGGCGCAAUCCUGAUCCAGCCAUACCGCGUGGGUGAAGAAGGCCUUAGGGUUNUAAAGCCCUCUUGUUGGGAANGAAAAGCAGCCGGUUAUUACCCGGUUGUUCUGACGGUACCCAAAGAAUACGCACCGCCUAACUACGCGCCAGUAGCCGCGGUUAUUCGAAGGGUGCAAGCGUUACUCGGAAUUACUGGGCGUAAAGCGUGCGUAGGUGGUUGUUGAAGUCAGUCGUGAAAGACCUGGGCUCAACCCGGGAAUGGCGAUGGAAACUGGGCGAAUAGAGUGUGGCAGAGGGUAGUGGAAUUCCUGGUGUAGCAGUGAAAUGCGUAGAGAUCAGGAGGAACAUCCGUGACGAAGGCGACUGCCUGGGCCAACACUGACACUGAGGCACGAAAGCGUGGGGAGCAAACAGG
rnacentral:rRNA from 1 species